rnacentral:rRNA from 1 species
UCGAGAAUCUUUCACAAUGGGGGAAACCCUGAUGGAGUGACGCCGCGUGGAGGUUAAGGUCUUCGGAUUGUAAACUCCUGUCAUGCGAGAACAAAGCCCGCAAGGGUGUGAUAGUACCGCAAGAGGAAGAGACGGCUAACUCUGUGCCAGCAGCCGCGGUAAUACAGAGGUCUCAAGCGUUGUUCGGAAUUACUGGGCGUAAAGGGUGCGCAGGCCGCGCGGGCAGUCAAAUGUGUAAUUCAGGGGCUCAACCCCUGCACUGCGCUUGAUACUUCCGCGCUCGAGCUUUGGAGAGGAGUCUGGAAUUCUCGGUGUAGCAGUGAAAUGCGUGGAUAUCGAGAAGAACACUUAGGGCGAAGGCAAGACUCUGGACAAAUGCUGACGCUCAUGCACGAAGGCUAGGGUAGCGAACGGGGAUUAGAUACCCCGGUAGUCCUAGCUGUAAACGGUGCACGCUUGGUGUGGGAGGCAACCCCUU